AUAUAUAUCAUAUAUAUAUAUAUAUGUGUGUGUGUGUGUGUGUGUGUGUGUGUGUAUUACACACACACAUGCAUUAUACAUAUUU
rnacentral:miRNA from 1 species